rnacentral:rRNA from 1 species
AUUGAACGCUGGCGGCAGGCCUAACACAUGCAAGUCGAACGAGUGGCGGACGGGUGAGUAAUGUCUGGGAAACUGCCCGAUGGAGGGGGCUAACUACUGGAACCGGUAGCAAAUACUGCUUACCAUCGGAUGUGCCCUGGGGGGAUUAGCUAGUAGGUGGGGUAACGGCUCACCUAGGCGACGAUCCAUAGCUGGUCUGAGAGGAUGACCAGCCACACUGGAACUGAGACACGGUCCAGACUCCUACGGGAGGCAGCAGUGGGGAAUCUUGCGCAAUGGGCGCAAGCCUGAUGCAGCCAUGCCGCGUGUAUGAAGAAGGCCUUCGGGUUGUAAAGUACUUUCAGCAGGGAGGCGUUACCCACAGAAGAAGCACCGGCUAACUCCGUGCCAGCAGCCGCGGUAAUAC